AUGGUCCUUGCAAAUCUUUGUGUCAUGGUCUUUGCAUCUUGGUCUUUGCAUCUUGGUCUUUGCAAAUCCUUUCCAUCUCCUUGCAUCCUACUCCUUGCAUCCUGCUCUUUGCAUCUUGGUCUUUGCAUCGUGGUCUUUGCAAAUCUUUCCUUCGUCCUCUUUGCAUCUUGGUCUUUGCAUCAUGGUCUUUGCAAAUCCUUUGCAUCCUUCUCUUUGCACCACGGUCUUUGGAAACUCUUCCGCCUUGGUCUUCGCACCGUGGUCUUCGCACCUUGGUCUUUGCAACUCCUUUCCACCCCCUCGCAUCCUGCCCCUUGCAUCGUGCUCUUUCCAUCAUGGUCUUUGCAAGUCCUUUGCGUCUCGGUCGUUGCUUCUUGGUCUUCCCACCACCCCCUUCGCAAAUCCCUUGCACCUCUUUGCAGGAAGGUCCUUGCGUCGCGCUCUUUCCAAACCCUUCGCUUCGUGCUCUUUGCAUCAUGGUCCUUGCAAAUCCUUUGCACCUUGCUCUUUGCAAAUCCUUUGCACCUUGCUCUUUGCAAAUCCUUUGCACCUUGCUCUUUGCACCGUCCUCUUUGCAGGUCCUCCGCUUCGUGCUCCUCGCAGACCCUUCGCAUCCCUCGCACCGCGCUCUUCGUUCCCGCAGCGCCCUCUGCAACUCCUGCAGCCUCCGCCUUCCGCAGCCUCCUCGUCCCCUUGCAUCCUCCUCGUCCUCGUGUCCUCCUCAUCUUCCCCUGUCCUCGUUUUCUUGCAUCCUCCUCGUCCUCGUGUCCUCCUCGUCCUCGUGUCCUCCUCGUCCUCGUGUCCUCCUCGUCCUCGUGUCCUCCUCGUCCUCGUGUCCUCCUCCUCUUUGUGUCCUCCUCUUCUUCGUGUCCUCCUCAUCCUCAUGUCCUCCUCCUCUUCGUGUCCUCCUCGUCCUCGUGUCCUCGUCAUCUUCGUGUCCUCCUCCUCCUCCUGUCCUCGUCAUCUUUGUGUCCUCCUCGUCCUUGUGUCCUCCUCAUCUUCGUGUCCUCAAUUUCUUGUGUCCUCCUCAUCCUCGUGUCCUCCUCUUCCUUGUGUCCUCCUCCUCUUCAUGUCCUCAUCCUAGUGUCAUCCUCAUCCUCGUGUCCUCCUCGUCCUCGUGUCCUCCUCCUCCUCGUGUCCUCCUCCUCCUCGUGUCCUCCUCUUCCUCGUGUCCUCCUCUUCCUCGUGUCCUCCUCUUCGUGUCCUCCUCCUCCUCCUCGUGUCCUCCUC
rnacentral:lncRNA from 1 species